rnacentral:rRNA from 1 species
GACAGAGGGUGCAAACGUUGUUCGGAAUUACUGGGCGUAAAGCGCGUGUAGGCGGCUAUGUAAGUCGGGCGUGAAAUCCCACGGCUCAACCGUGGAAGUGCACCCGAAACUGCGUAGCUAGAGUCCUGGAGAGGAAGGUGGAAUGCUUGGUGUAGAGGUGAAAUUCGUAGAUAUCAGGCGGAACACCGGUGGCGAAGGCGGCCUUCUGGACAGUGACUGACGCUGAGACGCGAAAGCGUGGGGAGCAAACAGG